AUUGAACGCUGGCGGCAGGCCUAACACAUGCAAGUCGAACGAGUGGCGGACGGGUGAGUAAUGUCUGGGAAACUGCCUGAUGGAGGGGGAUAACUACUGGAAACGGUAGCUAAUACCGCAUACCAUCAGAUUUGCCCAGAUGGGAUUAGCUGGUGGGUGGGGUAACGGCUCACAAGGGCGACGAUCCCUAGCUGGUCUGAGAGGAUGACCGGCCAAACUGGAACGGAGAAACGGUCCAGACUCCUACGGGAGGAAGCAGAGGGGAAGAUUGCACAAUGGGCGCAGGCCGGAUGAAGCAAGGCCGCGGGGAUGAAGAAGGCCUUCGGGUUGUAAAGUACUUUCAGCGGGGAGGCGUUACCCGCAGAAGAAGCACCGGCUAACUCCGUGCCAGCAGCCGCGGUAAUAC
rnacentral:rRNA from 1 species